rnacentral:lncRNA from 1 species
UAGGGUUACCUUUAGGGUUAGGUUUAGCUUAAGGGUUUGGGUCCGGGUGCGGGUGAGGGUUUGGGUUAGGGUUAGGAUUAGGUUUAGGGUUAGGGUUAUGGUUAGGGUUAGGCACAGGUUUAGGGUUAGGUUAGGGUUAGGGUUAGACACAGGGUUAGGGUUACGGUUAGGGUUAGGGUUUGGGCUAGGGUUAGGUUUAGGGUAAGGUUUAGGGUUAGGGUUAUGGUUAGGCUUAGGUUAGGGUAAGGGAUUGGGUUACGGUUAGGGUUCGGGUUAUGGUUAGCGUUAGGAUUAAUGUUAGGAUUUGGUUAGGGUUAGGGUUAGGGUUAGGGUUAGUGUUAGGGUUAGGAUUAGGGUUAGGGUUCGGGUUAGGGUUUGGGUUAGGUUUAGUGUUUGGGUUAGGUUUAGGGUUUGAGUUUGGGUUAGGGUUAGGGUAACGUUUAGGGUUAGUGCUUGGGUUAGGAACAGUCUCAGAUUUAGGGUUAGGGUUAGGGUUAGGGUUAGUUUCAGAGUUAGGGUUAGGGUUAGAGUUAGUUUCAGAGUUAGGGUUAGGGUUAGGGUUAGAGUUAGGGUUAGGGUUAGGUUUAGGAUUAUGAUUAGUGUUUUGGUAAGUGUUAGGAUUAGGGUUAGGAUUAAUGUUAGGGUUCGUGUCAGGGUUAGCUUUAGGGUUAGGUGUAGGAUUUUGGUUAGGGUUAGGGUUAGAGUUAGGGCAAGGGUUAUGAGUUAGGGUUAGUGUUAGUGUUAGGUUAGGGUUUGGGUUAGGUUAAGUGUUAGGGUUAGGGUUAGUGUGAAGGUGAGGGUUAGGGUUAGACACAGGUUUAGGAUUUGGGUUAGGUUUAGGGUAGGGUUAAUGUUCGGUUUAGGGUUAGGUUAGGGUUCCGGUUAGGGUUAGUGUUACGGUUAGGGUUAGGGUUAGGUUUCAGUUAGGAUAAGGGUUAGUGUUAGGCUUACUGUUUGGGUUAGGGUUACGUUUUGGGUUAGGAUUGGAGUUAGGGUUAGGGUUAGGGCUAGGGUUAGGAGUUAGGGUUUGGGUUAGGGUUAGGAUUAGGGUUUCGGUUAGGGUUAGGGUUAGGGUAACAUUUAGGCACUGGGUUAGUGUUAGGUUUAGGGUUAGUGUAGGGUUAAGGUUCCUGUUAGGCUUAAGGUCAAAGUUAGGGUAAGGGUUAGGG